CCUACGGGAGGCAGCAGUGAGGAAUAUUGGUCAAUGGACGAGAGUCUGAACCAGCCAAGUCGCGUGAAGGAUGACUGCCCUAUGGGUUUUAACCUUCUUUUAUAUGGGAAUAAAAUGUUCCACGUGUGGGAUUUUGUCUGUACCAUAUGAAUAAGGAUCGGCUAACUCCGUUCCAGCAGCCGCGGUAAUCAGGAGGCUCCGAGCGUUAGCCGGGUUUAUUGGGUUUAAAGGGAGCGUAGGUGGAUUGUUAAGUCAGGUGUGAAAGUUUGCGGCUCAACCGUAAAAUUGCAGUUGAAACUGGCAGUCUUGAGUACAGGAGAGGUGGGCGGAAUUCGUGGUGUAGCGGUGAAAUGCUUAGAUAUCACGAAGAACUCCGAUUGCGAAGGCAGUUCACUGGACUGCAACUGACACUGAGGCUCGAAAGUGUGGGUAUCAAACAGGAUUAGAUACCCGUGUAGUC
rnacentral:rRNA from 1 species